GACGAACCGUGCGAACGUUGUUCGGAAUCACUGGGCUUAAAGGGCGCGUAGGCGGAUGGGCAAGUCAGCGGUGAAAGCCCCCAGCUCAACUGGGGAAGUGCCCCUGAUACUGUUUAUCUGGAGGAAGGUAGGGGCACGUGGAACUUCCGGUGGAGCGGUGAAAUGCGUAGAGAUCGGAAGGAACACCGGUGGCGAAGGCGACGUGCUGGACCUUUUCUGACGCUGAGGCGCGAAAGCUAGGGGAGCGAAGAGG
rnacentral:misc_RNA from 1 species